rnacentral:rRNA from 1 species
UACGAAGGGUGCAAGCGUUACUCGGAAUUACUGGGCGUAAAGCGUGCGUAGGUGGUUCGUUAAGUCUGUCGUGAAAGCCCCGGGCUCAACCUGGGAAUGGCGAUGGAUACUGGCGGGCUAGAGUGCGGUAGAGGAGAGUGGAAUUCCCGGUGUAGCAGUGAAAUGCGUAGAGAUCGGGAGGAACACCAGUGGCGAAGGCGGUUGCCUGGGGCUUUGCUGACGCUGAUGCGCGAAAGCGUGGGGAGCGAUCCGG